AAGAAAAUAAGGUUUUACCCGUUGAGCUCCGAACAGAGAACGCAAACGAAAAAUAGGUAGAAUGAGUAUUUUCGGGAAAUUUGGAUAUGGAUCGGCGGAAGUAUAAUGGGGGAUGAUGUGGUCGAAUUUGGGAUUAAUUUGAGGAAGUUUGGCGCAUGAAAUGACGAGUUAAACAUGGAUUAGGGGCUUAAAAGGAGGUUUAGGACUGAUUUGCGAGAAACUAGGGACCUAUCUGUAAAUAUUUUUGGAGGUGGAGGGGUCUAUCUAUGAAACAACCUUUGAGAGAGGUGGAAGGGUUAUUUCGCGAAAUAGAGAAAAUUGGGGGUUAGAUCGGAAUUUGGGGGCUUCUUCUUCCUUUCUCCCUGUACCGAGACAGAGGAUGGAAUCGGACCCUUCAAUUCAUUGGCACUCGGCAUCUUGCGACCUAGGGAUCGGAAGAC
rnacentral:lncRNA from 1 species